rnacentral:tRNA from 6 species
GGUGGGUUGGCAGAGUGGUUUAAUGCAGCGGUCUUGAAAACCGCCGAAGGUUAAUAGCCUUCCCGGGGUUCGAAUCCCUGACCCACCGCCA